AUGUGGUACAUAUGAAAUUUGAAGCGAAUCAAUUUUUUAGUAUGUUUUUAUAUAUUUUAAGUUGCUAAUUAUUUGUAUUUAGAGUAUGUUUUACGUAAAUAUAUUAGAAAUCACAAUAAUUAAUAAGUUAAUAUAAAAAAGAACUUAUAAAAAAUUCAUUGACUUUUGAAAUUUCAUUUGUAUCACAUAA
rnacentral:pre_miRNA from 1 species